rnacentral:RNase_P_RNA from 1 species
CGAGCCAGCCAGGUGGUCGCGGUGCGCAUCGCGUACCGAGGAAAGUCCGGACUCCACAGAGCAGGGUGGUGGGUAACACCCACCCGGGGCGACCCGCGGGAAAGUGCCACAGAGAACAGACCGCCCCCGUGAGGGGGUAAGGGUGAAACGGCGGUGUAAGAGACCACCGGCAUCCCGGGCGACCGGGAUGGCCAGGCAAACCCCACCCGGAGCAAGACCAGACAGGCUGCGUUCGAGGGUUGCUCGCCCGAGCAGCCGGGUAGGUCGCACCAGGCGGUCGGCAACGGCCGUCGCAGAUGGAUGAUCACCCGCGACAGAAUCCGGCUUAUCGGCUGGCUCGUCCC